UACGUAGGGUGCGAGCGUUGUCCGGAAUUAUUGGGCGUAAAGGGCUCGUAGGCGGUUUGUCGCGUCGGGAGUGAAAAUCCAGGGCUUAACUCUGGACUGGCUUCCGAUACGGGCAGACUAGAGGUAUGCAGGGGAGAACGGAAUUCCUGGUGUAGCGGUGAAAUGCGCAGAUAUCAGGAGGAACACCGGUGGCGAAGGCGGUUCUCUGGGCAUUACCUGACGCUGAGGAGCGGAAAGUGUGGGGAGCGAACAGG
rnacentral:rRNA from 1 species